rnacentral:rRNA from 1 species
UACAGAGGGUGCAAGCGUUGUUCGGAAUUAUUGGGCGUAAAGGGUGCGUAGGCGGUGCGGUAAGUCUGUUGUGAAAUCCCCGGGCUCAACUCGGAGCCUGCAACGGAAACUGCCGUGCUUGAGUAUGGGAGAGGUGAGUGGAAUUCCCGGUGUAGCGGUGAAAUGCGCAGAUAUCAGGAAGAACACCCGUGGCUAAGGCGGCUCUCUAGUACGGUACUGACGCUGAGACGCGAAAGCGUGGGGAGCGAACAGG